CCUACUGGUGGCUGCAGUGAGGAAUAUUGGUCAAUGGACGAGAGUCUGAACCAGCCAAGUAGCGUGAAGGAUGACUGCCCUAUGGGUUGUAAACUUCUUUUAUAUGGGAAUAAAAUGUUCCACGUAUUGGAUUUUGUAUGUACCAUAUGAAUAAGGAUCGGCUAACUCCGUGCCAGCAGCCGCGGUAAUACGGAGGAUCCGAGCGUUAUCCGGAUUUAUUGGGUUUAAAGGGAGCGUAGGUGGAUUGUUAAGUCAGUUGUGAAAGUUUGCGGCUCAACCGUAAAAUUGCAUUUGAAACUGGCAGUCUGGAGUACAUGAGAGGUGGGGGGAAGUCGAGGUGUAGCGGUGAAAUGCUUAGAGAUCAGGAAGAACUCCGAUGGCGAAGGCAGCUCACUGGACUGUAACUGACACUGAGGAGCGAAAGUGUGGGUAGCAAACAGGAUUAGAUACCCUUGUAGUC
rnacentral:rRNA from 1 species